rnacentral:lncRNA from 10 species
UGACAGGCCCUCGGGGUGUGUGGGACCAUGUCCAGCCCUCUCCAGUGUAUCCACAGCCCCGACCUUUGAUGAGAACUCAGCUGUCCAGAAAAAGACACCGUCCUUUAAAGUGCUGCAGUAUGGCCAGACGUGGUGGCUCACACCUGCAAUCCCAGCACCUUAGGAGGCCGAGGCAGGAGGAUCCUUGAGGUCAGGAGUUCGAGACCAGCCUCGCCAACAUGGUGAAACCCCAUUUCUACUAAAAAUACAAAAAAUUAGCCAAGUGUGGUGGCAUAUGCCUGUAAUCCCAACUACUCAGAAGGCCGAGGCAGGAGAAUUACUUGAACGCAGGAGAAUCACUGCAGCCCAGGAGGCAGAGGUUGCAGUGAGCCGAGAUUGCACCACUGCACUCCAGCCUGGGUGACAGAGCAAGACUCCAUCUCAGUAAAUAAAUAAAUAAAUAAAAAGCGCUGCAGUAGCUGUGGCCUCACCCUGAAGUCAGCGGGCCCAGGCCUACCUCACUCUCUCCCUUGGCAGAGAAGCAGACGUCCAUAGCUCCUCUCCCUCACAAGCGCUCCCAGCCUGCCCUCCAGCUGCUGCUCUCCCCUCCCAGUCUCUACUCACUGGGAUGAGGUUAGGUCAUGAGGACACCAAAAACCUAAAAAUAAACAAAAAGCCAAACAAGCCUUAGCUUUU